CUCUGUAGCCACAAGCUGGAACAGAAAUUGAGAAAGAAAAGAGUAUUUAUAUUGGUAAAGUUAGCUUCAAAGCCCUGGCAAGUGGGUCUUGUAGCAAGACCACCAAAGUUACUUGGAUCUACUGUCGCUGGGUUUGACUUGACUUGAUCACGGAUUACAUCGCCUGCCAGUGACUGGAGCAGUGCAGUUGACAGGGAGAAGGGAGUGGCCAAGACUGGAAAGGGUGUAGCAGCAGCAGGACCAGUUAGGACUGUCGGUUGAAAAUAUCCAAGCCUGAGGUGAUGGCGUAACAAGCGGAUGGCGAUGAAAAGGCCACCAGUGGAAAAUGCAGGCUGCCACUGUGACUGGCUUGGAAAAUGAUUAUCCAAAAAGCAUAAAAGGGGUUACAGAGAUUAGCAUCCCUGCUGUUGUAAAUGUCAACUUUUGACAAGUAUAUAUAAAGGUAUAUAUAGCAAGGCUAAAAGGGAUAAAAUAGGGAAGCAACUUAUUUAACAGUUGCUAUCAGUAACUAUCUAUAAAGGGAAACCAUAUGGUGGGUUUAAAAUGUAAAUGUCUUCAUGAAAGUCAUAACUUU